rnacentral:rRNA from 1 species
GGGCUCACACAAGCGGUGGAGCAUGUUGCUUAAUUCGAAGCAACGCGAAGAACCUUACCUGGGUUUGACAUGCACGGAUUAGUUGGUGGAAACAUCAAUGAGGCUCGCAAGAGUACAACGUGCACAGGUGCUGCAUGGCUGUCGUCAGCUCGUGCUGUGAAGUGUUUGGUUAAGUCCAUUAACGAGCGCAACCCCUGUCGUUAGUUGCUAACGCGUCAUGGCGAGGACUCUAGCGAGACUGCCGCUGUAAAGCGGAGGAAGGUGGGGAUGACGUCAAGUCCUCAUGGCCCUUACAUCCAGGGUUGCAAACGUGCUACAAUGGCGCGCACAAUGCGACGCAAGGCCGCAAGGCGGAGCAAAUCGCAAAAAACGCGCCCCAGUUCGGAUUGAAGGCUGCAACCCGCCUUCAUGAAGCCGGAAUCGCUAGUAAUCGGAGAUCAGCUACGCUCCGGUGAAUACGUUCCUGAGCCUU